rnacentral:rRNA from 1 species
AUUGAACGCUGGCGGCAGGCCUAACACAUGCAAGUCGAACGAGUGGCGGACGGGUGAGUAAUGUCUGGGAAACUGCCUGAUGGAGGGGGAUAACUACUGGAAACGGUAGCUAAUACCGCAUACAUUCGGAAGUGCCCAGGUGGGAUUAGCUAGUAGGUGGGGUAACGGCGCACCUAGGCGACGAUCCCUAGCUGGUCUUAGAGGCUGACCAGCCACCAUGGAACUGAGACACGGGCCCGACUCCGACGGGAGGCAGCAGUGGGGAAUAUUGGACAAUGGGCGCAAGCCUGAUACAGCCAUGCCGCGUGUAUGAAGAAGGCCUUCGGGUUGUAAAGUACUUGCAGCGGGGAGGCGUUACCCGCAGAAGAAGCACCGGCUAACUCCGUGCCAGCAGCCGCGGUAAUAC